rnacentral:rRNA from 1 species
GACGAACGCUGGCGGCGUGCUUAACACAUGCAAGUCGAACGGAAAGGCCCUGCUUUUGUGGGGUGCUCGAGUGGCGAACGGGUGAGUAACACGUGAGUAACCUGCCCUUGACUUUGGGAUAACUUCAGGAAACUGGGGCUAAGAUCGUAUAGGAGCUCCUGCUCCAUGGUGGGGGUUGGAAAGUUUCGGCGGUUGGGGAUGGACUCGCGGCUUAUCAGCUUGUUGGUGGGGGAGUGGCUUACCAAGGGUUUGACGGGUAGCCGGCCUGGGUGGGUGACCGGCGACAUUGGGACUGAGGUACGGACCAGACUCCUACGGGGGGCAGCAGGGGGGAGUAUUGCACAGUGGGAGGAAGCCUGAUGAAGCAGCGCCGCGUGCGGGAUGACGGCCUUCGGGGUGUGAACCGCUUUCGCCUGUGACGCGGCGUGAGUGACGGUAAUGAGUAAAGAAGCACCGGCUAACUACGUG